CCCAGCAGCCGUCAGCUGUGCAGACAGACUCACCACUGGGACAGGGUAACACUGCUGGGAGAGGAGCGUCCUGCCUUCUUCCUCCAGGUGUCUCUGUCACUGUCCUGGUGGCAUCUGGUGCUGGUGCAAGGCAGGACUGUGCUUCCUUGAGAGUGGCUGCUUAGUUCUAGUAUGGGAGAAGAUACA